rnacentral:rRNA from 1 species
GACGAACGCUGGCGGCGUGCUUAACACAUGCAAGUCGAACGGAAAGGCCCUGCUUUUGUGGGGUGCUCGAGUGGCGAACGGGUGAGUAACACGUGAGUAACCUGCCCUUGACUUUGGGAUAACUUCAGGAAACUGGGGCUAAUACCGGAUAGGAGCUCCUGCUGCAUGGUGGGGGUUGGAAAUUUUCGGCGGUCGGGGAUGGACUCGCGGCUUAUCAGCUUGUUGGUGGGGUAGUGGCUUACCAAGGCUUUGACGGGUAGCCGGCCUGAGAGGGUGACCGGCCACAAUGGGACUGAGAUACGGCCCAGACUCCUACGGGAGGCAGCAGUGGGGAGUAUUGCACAAUGGGCGGAAGCCUGAUGCAGCAACGCCGCGUGCGGGAUGACGGCCUUCGGGUUGUAAACCGCUUUCGCCUGUGACGAAGCGUGAGUGACGGUAAUGGGUAAAGAAGCACCGGCUAACUACGUG